GUUGUUAUUUACUGUUCAGUGUUCCCUAACUCAUGGACCCUCCUGCUCCUCUUAUUGUCUCAAAGUCUUCACUUCAGUGACCAUCCCAUUUUGCUGUUUUCCAUACAGACCUAACUCAGGAUGAAUACUUCAAUGCAUCUCUCUCUGUGUCCACCCACCUGGGCAAGGUACGGGGACGAUGGCCACGACACCUGGAGUCCCCCAGCUCUCCAGGACUCAGCAAGGAGCAGGUGAGGGUGCAGGCUGUCUUGCUUGGGUUAGAUCCACACCCCCAGCCUACCUCACAAUGAAGCCUCACCAGAAGAAUUUGGUGUGUGCUUCAAAGUGUCCUUAGCUCUGCCAGGUGGAGUCAGCCCUAAUCUCCAUCUUGACUUGCGGAAUUUAGGAUGCAAGGAGAUGCACUGUUCCCUUGGUGUUCUGAUUCAAACGCUUUCCCCAAGAAUUGGUUGCGUGUCUUCCAUUGGUGACCGUGCAUCUGGAGACCAUGAAGAAAGCACAACAUUAUUAACUUAAAAGAUGGAGAUCAUGGCCAAGCAUGAAUACCACUAUCCUGUAGCUUUGUUGCCCCCAGGAUGGUUAGUUUGAUGUGUCUCUUUGGCUAGGCUACUGUACUGUUAUUCAACCAAACACUGAUGUAGGUGUUGCCGUGGAGGUAUUCUGUAGAUGCGAUGGUAGUGGAUUGGAUAGUGUCUCCCCCAAAUUCAUGCCCACCCAGAACCUCAGCACAUGAGCUUAUUCAGAAAUAGGGUUUUUGCAGAUGUAAUUAAGGUCAAGGUCAAAGUCAAGAUAAAACACUGGAUUAGGGUGGGCCUUAAAUCCAAUGAGACUGUCUUUAUGAUGGAAGAAGAUGCAGAGAUGCAGAGGGGAAGGCCAGGUGAAGAGAGAGGCGGAGAUUGGAGCAAUGCAGCCACAAGCCAAGGAAUGCCUGGAGCCAACAGCAGGAAGAGGACAGGAAAGAUUCUCUCCAAGAGCUCCCUGCUGGCACCUUGAUUUCAGACUACUGGUCUCUUGAACAGCGAGGGAAUAAAUUUCUGUUCUUUUUAAGCCUCCAGUUUUGUAAUGUGCUAAGACAGCCUUAGAAAUGAGUAUAACACCCCACAGCCAGCUCCAGGCUUAGUCCGGGUCCUGGGGGCUGCAGGUGGUUAACAGAGUUCUGGAUUCAGAGACAGAGGUUUUGGUUUACAUCCCAGUGACAGCUCUCAGAGCUGCAUGGACUUGACCAUAUUUCUUCAUUUCACUGAGCCUUAGGGGAGGACUAAUAUUCAUUCACCACUGUUUUGAGAUGUAUAGUAGAUAAUGCCCGUAGGGAGAGCCUGUAAAUGGUCAUGGAAUGAAAAGGUUCUGCUAUGAUGUACAUAUACACCCACACACAACGUUCCCUAAAUUACCUGUGAAACUCUCCCCAUGCUGGAAAACGACUCUGGAGGUUUUAUUUUAUAAUGUAUUUUUGGUUGCUCAAGGAUUGAUUUUUUAGUUCUAGGAUUUCAAAAAAAAAUCAGUUUGCUGCUAGUUUGGCUUUUUGCCCUUUCCCAAUUCCUCAUCUUUCUAGCAUGUCAAGAGACAAAAAUAAAUAAAUAAAUAAAAACAAAAACAAAAAAGGGUGACAAUUGCGGAUCUUUCCUUUAUCCUGGCUGCAGCUGGGAAACACUUGGUGGGGUUGGGGGCAGAUCGAAAAAUUGUUUACUUUUUUAUGCAAACUCUGACUCUACCUUUUAAAUGAUCACUGAUUUUGUUUUCUAAGAUGGGGCUUUAAGAAUCUUCAUUUAGGCUGGGCGCGGUGGCUCACGCAUGUAAUCCCAGCAGUUUGGGAGGCGGAGAUGGGCGGAUUGCCUGAGGUCAGGCGUUCAAGGCCAGUCCGGCCAACAUGG
rnacentral:lncRNA from 10 species